UUGUGAGCUCCUGCUUUGACUCUGUUUGCAAACUCUUGUUUCAUUGUUUAAGCGAUUAAAUCUCUCGAGUAGACGCUGUCUCUUUAGAUGCGAGGGCAAAAUAGCACUUUAUGGACUUCCACAGAGGACAUCAUGUUUAAUACGGUUCCGGAAAAAUCCAGUCAGAAGUUGUUCACGGAGUUUUCACAAUAACUGCUUCUCAUGAACCGAAGCUGGAUUUGCGCGAAGUCUCCUCUUGAAAGUUGGAUUACUGUGCACUUCUGGAUCACAGGCUAUUCGCAGCUGGACACAUCCUUCUACACUGUAUGCAAACAUGCAACAUCAUUACACACAGUACAAGGAGUCAGACUGGCAUAUGAGGAGCAAAGGAACCCAGGCAGUAGCAUCGUUUCACAAUGUUUCCAUCACCAUCAUCAGUGGAUGCCUUUGCCGUCCGUAGCCUGAGAUUUCAGAUUUGCAGCAAAAAAAAAAUUAUUUUCUCAUUUAUUGGAAUGCUGUGCAGGUAUUUGUACCUUGCAGCCAUCCAUUACAAUGUCACCAAGCCGUAACAAAAGCAGGAGAGGGAAAGUACAAGGCUAUGUUCCCAAAACACAAAUGACAUACCUUAUGUGGAGGAUGUGAUCAGGCUUGUGUUUGAUGAGGUAUUUGAAGAUAAGCUGAGGGAAACCCCGAUUCCAAUGGACCUGGCAUCACAGUUUGAGAGACCUUCAAAGGAGGACGUGAUUGCAUGCCAUCUUCAGUGCAGGGGUCGUCGAAAGCCAAAAUUGUGACCGAUCUGAUCAGGAAGCUCCAAGCGUAUCUGGAGAACAACACACGACAGGAUGAUAACCUUAUAGUGUCGUCUUAAAUAGCACCAGCUGACAAAGCUUUGAUAUGCCAUUUAUCUGAAUAGAUAGCUGUAAGAAAUGAAUUGAACAAUUUUUGAAACAAGAGCACAAUAUGGUUACUAAAGUAUGUUUAUUUAUAUAUUGUUUAACAUUUAAAUAUAUAUUUGUAAUAAAUAAAAAAAACUUUUGACUGACUAUUAUAUUUUCUUUAAAGUUACAUCUUUUGUUCUUUUGGGUACUUUGUUACUAUAAUGAUACUUUAGUGUUAUUGGUUUAAAAAUGUAAUAAAACUUAUUGUAGUCCUGCACCUCAAAGGCUUAUAGUCGGUACAAUAAAUGUUCUGUGUGUAGGGAUUUAGACAAUU